UAUAAUUCUUGUACUACAGUUGACACUGAAAGUCUAGCACACUCGAUCGAUCAGCAAUGGACGCGAGAGCUGCGACAUUUUUCUUUCUACUCCUUGUUGUAUUUCAGGGAAAUCCAUGUUCUGCUGACGAUACAUGCAUCUACACUAGUGCCCAUCUGGUAACGUGUGUGACACCGGUUUGCAAGUUCGCGUGCGUGGUGGACGCACGGGCCCAUCAUGCCAAGUACAGGAAUGGAUGGUGUAAGGGAUUUUUCAAUGGCGUUUGCACAUGCCAACUUUGCUAUGACUAAAGCGAGAGACCGCUGCCAUGUUUACAAAGAUGUAAUAAUCCUCUGAUCUGAUCAAGGGGAAAUAUAUGUAAUAUUUCAAGGAUAUUUGGAA